UUGCUCUUCAACGAGGAAUACCUAGUAAGCGUGAGUCAUCAGCUCGCGUUGAUUACGUCCCUGCCCUUUGUACACACCGCCCGUCGCUACUACCGAUUGAAUGGCUUAGUGAGGUCUCCGGAUUGGCUUUGGGGAGCCGGCGACGGCACCCUAUUGCUGAGAAGUUGAUCAAACUUGGUCAUUUAGAGGAAGUAAAAGUCGUAACAAGGUUUCCGUAGGUGAACCUGCGGAAGGAUCAUUAAUGAAUUCACUAUGGAGUUGUUGCUGGCCUCUAGGGGCAUGUGCACGCUUCACUAGUCUUUCAACCACCUGUGAACUUUUGAUAGAUCUGUGAAGUCGUCUCUCAAGUCGUCAGACUUGGUUGCUGGGAUUUAAACGUCUCGGUGUGACUACGCAGUCUAUUUACUUACACACCCCAAAUGUAUGUCUACGAAUGUCAUUUAAUGGGCCUUGUGCCUAUAAACCAUAAUACAACUUUCAACAACGGAUCUCUUGGCUCUCGCAUCGAUGAAGAACGCAGCGAAAUGCGAUAAGUAAUGUGAAUUGCAGAAUUCAGUGAAUCAUCGAAUCUUUGAACGCACCUUGCGCCCCUUGGUAUUCCGAGGGGCAUGCCUGUUUGAGUGUCAUUAAAUUCUCAAACUCACUUUGGUUUCUUUCCAAUUGUGAUGUUUGGAUUGUUGGGGGCUGCUGGCCUUGACAGGUCGGCUCCUCUUAAAUGCAUUAGCAGGACUUCUCAUUGCCUCUGCGCAUGAUGUGAUAAUUAUCACUCAUCAAUAGCACGCAUGAAUAGAGUCCAGCUCUCUAAUCGUCCGCAAGGACAAUUUGACAAUUUGACCUCAAAUCAGGUAGGACUACCCGCUGAACUUAAGCAUAUCAAUAAGCGGAGGA
rnacentral:rRNA from 1 species